rnacentral:rRNA from 1 species
UCCUUCUGUUAACUCUCGACCUCGUUCGUUCGUGGCGUUAGGGCUCAGAUAUUUUACCUUGAGAAAAUUAGAGUGUUUCACGGCAGGCUUUCGCCGGAAUACAUUAGACAUGGAAUAAUGGAAAAGGACUUCAACCUCUUCUGUUGGUCUGAGAGGAUGUAGUAAUGAUUAAUAGGGAUAGUUGGGGGCAUUAGUACUUAACUGUCAGAGGUGAAAUUCUCCGAUUUGUUAAAGACUAACUUAUGCGAAAGCAUUUGCCAAGGAUGUUUUCAUUAAUCAAGAACGAAAGUUAGGGGAUCAAAAGACGAUCAGAUACCGUCCCUAGUCUUAACCAUAAACUAUGCCGACUCGGGAUCGGGGGCACGCAAUAUCGGCCUUCGGCACCGUAUGAGAAAUCAAAGUCUUUGGGUUCUGGGGGGAGUAUGGU